rnacentral:rRNA from 2 species
GGUUAAGCGACUAAGCGUACACGGUGGAUGCCCUGGCAGUCAGAGGCGAUGAAGGACGUGCUAAUCUGCGAAAAGCGUCGGUAAGGUGAUAUGAACCGUUAUAACCGGCGAUGUCCGAAUGGGGAAACCCAGUGCAAUUCGUUGCACUAUCGUUAACUGAAUACAUAGGUUAACGAGGCGAACCGGGGGAACUGAAACAUCUAAGUACCCCGAGGAAAAGAAAUCAACCGAGAUUCCCCCAGUAGCGGCGAGCGAACGGGGAGCAGCCCAGAGUCUGAAUCAGCUUGUGUGUUAGUGGAACGGUCUGGAAAGUCCGACGGUACAGGGUGAUAGUCCCGUACACCAAAAUGCACAGGUUGUGAACUCGAAGAGUAGGGCGGGACACGUGGUAUCCUGUCUGAAUAUGGGGGGACCAUCCUCCAAGGCUAAAUACUCCUGACUGACCGAUAGUGAACCAGUACCGUGAGGGAAAGGCGAAAAGAACCCCGGCGAGGGGAGUGAAAAAGAACCUGAAACCGUGUACGUACAAGCAGUGGGAGCACCUUCGGGUGUGACUGCGUACCUUUUGUAUAAUGGGUCAGCGACUUAUAUUCUGUAGCAAGGUUAACCGUAUAGGGGAGCCGCAGGGAAACCGAGUCUUAACUGGGCGUUAAGUUGCAGGGUAUAGACCCGAAACCCGGUGAUCUAGCCAUGGGCAGGUUGAAGGUUGGGUAACACUAACUGGAGGACCGAACCGACUAAUGUUGAAAAAUUAGCGGAUGACUUGUGGCUGGGGGUGAAAGGCCAAUCAAACCGGGAGAUAGCUGGUUCUCCCCGAAAGCUAUUUAGGUAGCGCCUCGUGAACUCAUCUUCGGGGGUAGAGCACUGUUUCGGCUAGGGGGUCAUCCCGACUUACCAACCCGAUGCAAACUACGAAUACCGAAGAAUGUUAUCACGGGAGACACACGGCGGGUGCUAACGUCCGUCGUGAAGAGGGAAACAACCCAGACCGCCAGCUAAGGUCCCAAAGUCAUGGUUAAGUGGGAAACGAUGUGGGAAGGCACAGACAGCCAGGAUGUUGGCUUAGAAGCAGCCAUCAUUUAAAGAAAGCGUAAUAGCUCACUGGUCGAGUCGGCCUGCGCGGAAGAUGUAACGGGGCUAAACCAUGCACCGAAGCUGCGGCAGCGACACUAUGUGUUGUUGGGUAGGGGAGCGUUCUGUAAGCCUGCGAAGGUGUGCUGUGAGGCAUGCUGGAGGUAUCAGAAGUGCGAAUGCUGACAUAAGUAACGAUAAAGCGGGUGAAAAGCCCGCUCGCCGGAAGACCAAGGGUUCCUGUCCAACGUUAAUCGGGGCAGGGUGAGUCGACCCCUAAGGCGAGGCCGAAAGGCGUAGUCGAUGGGAAACAGGUUAAUAUUCCUGUACUUGGUGUUACUGCGAAGGGGGGACGGAGAAGGCUAUGUUAGCCGGGCGACGGUUGUCCCGGUUUAAGCAUGUAGGCUGAUUGUCCAGGCAAAUCCGGAUAAUCAAGGCUGAGGUGUGAUGACGAGGCACUACGGUGCUGAAGUAACAAAUGCCCUGCUUCCAGGAAAAGCCUCUAAGCAUCAGGUAACAUCAAAUCGUACCCCAAACCGACACAGGUGGUCAGGUAGAGAAUACCAAGGCGCUUGAGAGAACUCGGGUGAAGGAACUAGGCAAAAUGGUGCCGUAACUUCGGGAGAAGGCACGCUGGUGUGUAGGUGAAGUCCCUGCGGAUGGAGCUGAGACCAGUCGAAGAUACCAGCUGGCUGCAACUGUUUAUUAAAAACACAGCACUGUGCAAACACGAAAGUGGACGUAUACGGUGUGACGCCUGCCCGGUGCCGGAAGGUUAAUUGAUGGGGUUAUCCGUAAGGAGAAGCUCUUGAUCGAAGCCCCGGUAAACGGCGGCCGUAACUAUAACGGUCCUAAGGUAGCGAAAUUCCUUGUCGGGUAAGUUCCGACCUGCACGAAUGGCGUAAUGAUGGCCAGGCUGUCUCCACCCGAGACUCAGUGAAAUUGAACUCGCUGUGAAGAUGCAGUGUACCCGCGGCAAGACGGAAAGACCCCGUGAACCUUUACUAUAGCUUGACACUGAACAUUGAGCCUUGAUGUGUAGGAUAGGUGGGAGGCUUUGAAGCGUGGACGCCAGUCUGCGUGGAGCCAACCUUGAAAUACCACCCUUUAAUGUUUGAUGUUCUAACGUUGGCCCCUGACCGGGGUUGCGGACAGUGUCUGGUGGGUAGUUUGACUGGGGCGGUCUCCUCCCAAAGCGUAACGGAGGAGCACGAAGGUUAGCUAAUCCUGGUCGGACAUCAGGAGGUUAGUGCAAUGGCAUAAGCUAGCUUGACUGCGAGCGUGACGGCGCGAGCAGGUGCGAAAGCAGGUCAUAGUGAUCCGGUGGUUCUGAAUGGAAGGGCCAUCGCUCAACGGAUAAAAGGUACUCCGGGGAUAACAGGCUGAUACCGCCCAAGAGUUCAUAUCGACGGCGGUGUUUGGCACCUCGAUGUCGGCUCAUCACAUCCUGGGGCUGAAGUAGGUCCCAAGGGUAUGGCUGUUCGCCAUUUAAAGUGGUACGCGAGCUGGGUUUAGAACGUCGUGAGACAGUUCGGUCCCUAUCUGCCGUGGGCGCUGGAGAAUUGAGGGGGGCUGCUCCUAGUACGAGAGGACCGGAGUGGACGCAUCACUGGUGUUCGGGUUGUCAUGCCAAUGGCACUGCCCGGUAGCUAAAUGCGGAAGAGAUAAGUGCUGAAAGCAUCUAAGCACGAAACUUGCCCCGAGAUGAGUUCUCCCUGAGACUUUAAGUCUCCUGAAGGAACGUUAAAGACGAUGACGUUGAUAGGCCGGGUGUGUAAGCGCAGCGAUGCGUUGAGCUAACCGGUACUAAUGAACCGUGAGGCUUAACCUU